AUUGAUCCAUCUAUUGAGUUAUAACCAGGAUGAAUAUAAGGCCAAUGAUAUAAACGUCGUAUCUACAUGGCAACAUUCCCAACAAUAUUCACACGAGCAUUAUACCUGGAACAGUAGCUGAAUUUUCCCCAAUGUUUUGAGAUACAUGUAUGAUGCUUGCAUUGUUAUCUUCAACUAUUAUAGAGCUUGUAAGGUCUAGAAAGCAUUAUGCAUUAAGCAUGUGAAUAUCAGAAAUGCAGAGAACUCAUGUGUAGCACAUUAUGAUAGGUAUAAGCAUGCCCGUAGUAUUAUCUUCAACGGUUAUCACGCUUUUAAGGCCUGCAAAACAUGAUAAUAAAAGAUUGCGAAUAACCUAUGUGUAGUACUUUCUCAUAGAAAUGCAGCUUACCCGUAGUAACGUCCUCUUCUGGUUGCUGAUCAACCGCCUUGCUUCUUGAAUUACCCAUACGCACCUAUGUAAGUACAGAUUACUGACAAUUAAUGACCUAUGUCUGAAGUGAAGUUCGGAUGAGGCUUCAACUCUGCUAGAUGUUCUCUUUGAUCAUUUAUCUGUGGACCGUAUACAUUCAUCAUUUGGUCAUACUGCUGUAUUUCCACGAAGAAAACCCUUUUCAUGAUAUUAUACAGUAAAAAAGCAUGCUUGCAAUCAAUCUUCUAGCAUCAGUUUUUAUUUGUUAUGUUGUUAUUUAAUCACUAAGGGCUUGGAUAUAUAUAGCAUCCAAAUGAUCAUCAGAACUUGAUGGCACGGCAAAAGAGCAGGUUCCUGUGAUCUUUGGUCAAACCUGUAGAUAUGCAACUUGCACCUACUAUAGUACUCCUACUGUUGAGUUAAUGCAUUAGGCUUUGCGAAGCUUCAGAUCAACCUUAUCAUAUCAUAGUAUAAGUAGUUUAUUGGUCAGUUGUAUCGUUUCUCUUCAGACUGAUGGUUUACUUGUGUCACUUUUUUCAUGUGAUCCUGUUGUGAGCUGCAAACUCGAGAUCUUCUGCAGAUGUGAGAUGCAAACUCGAGAUCAGGGUGCUCCCCAAGCUCAAAAUCAUCUCAACAAGAUGGUUUAUUAUAGUACUGAAGCUUCAGGUCAUCCAUAUUGAAGGUUCAACUCUACCGUAUGGUUUACUAUAGUUGGACUUAAUACAUUACAACUAUCUGAUGGUCACCAAUGUCAUUCUUCCUUUUGGCAUACAAACCUUGACUACUGCAUGGAACCUAUUAGAUUCAAGUGUCGUAACUACCUUUUUGUUUGUGUCACUUUUUGCAUGUGAUCCGGUUGUGAGCUGCAGACUCGAGAUCCUUGGCAGAUGCUGCUACUGAUGACACCGUCUCCGAGGGCCGUCACUAGCCCCAAACUCCUAGAGUAGAAAUCAGCUGCAAGAAAACUGGGUGUCAGUUAUGUGCAAGUAAAAGAGAUGACUAUUGCCACUUGAUGCUUCUACUGACCCCGGGCAAAGAGAUGACUCACCACCUGCAAGCAUUCACAUAAAAAUAGUAAUGAAUUUGGGACUGACAAAUUGACCAAAGCAGAUAUGGCCUCAUCAUAUUCGGCAGUUAGGUGUAAAUUUCCUUUUUCAGAGUGAUUGAAUGGUGACGGAACUUGUAUUUUUCAAUUCCAGAUUCUCAAUCAACCUGGCGAGGAGUGAACAGGAGUAUAGAUCCA